rnacentral:rRNA from 1 species
AUUGAACGCUGGCGGCAGGCCUAACACAUGCAAGUCGAACGAGUGGCGGACGGGUGAGUAAUGUCUGGGAAACUGCCCGAUGGAGGGGGAUAACUACUGGAAACGGUAGCUAAUACCGCAUACCAUCGGAUGUGCCCAGAUGGGAUUAGCUAGUAGGUGGGGUAACGGCUCACCUGGGCGACGAUCCCUAGCUGGUCUGAGAGGAUGACCGGCCACACUGGAACUGGGACACGGUCCAGACGCCUACGGGAGGCAGCAGUGGGGAAUAUUGCACAAUGGGGGCAAGCCUGAUGCAGUCAGGCCGCGUGUGUGAAAAAGGCCUUGGGGUUGGAAAGUACUUUCAGCGGGGAGGCGGUACUCGCAGAAGAAGCAUCGGCUAACUCCGUGCCAGCAGCCGCGGUAAUUC